AGAGUUUGAUCAUGGCUCAGGAUGAACGCUGGCGGUCUGCUUAACACAUGCAAGUCGAACGGGCUCUUUCGGGAGCUAGUGGCGGACGGGUGAGUAACGCGUGAGAAUCUGCCAAAAGGACUGGGACAACCACUGGAAACGGUGGCUAAUACCGGAUGAGCCGCAACGUAAAAGAGGAAACUCGCCUUUUGAGGAGCUCGCGUCUGAUUAGCUAGUUGGUGAGGUAAGAGCUCACCAAGGCAUCGAUCAGUAGCUGGUCUGAGAGGAUGAUCAGCCACACUGGGACUGAGACACGGCCCAGACUCCUACGGGAGGCAGCAGUGGGGAAUUUUCCGCAAUGGGCGAAAGCCUGACGGAGCAAGACCGCGUGAGGGAGGAAGGCUCUUGGGUUGUAAACCUCUUUUGUCAGGGAAGAACACAAUGACGGUACCUGAAGAAUCAGCAUCGGCUAACUCCGUGCCAGCAGCCGCGGUAAUACGGGGGAUGCAAGCGUUAUCCGGAAUUAUUGGGCGUAAAGCGUCCGCAGGUGGCUAAUCAAGUCUGCUGUCAAAGGUUGGGGCUUAACCCCAAAAAGGCAGUGGAAACUGAGAAGCUAGAGUGCAGUAGGGGUAGAGGGAAUUCCCGGUGUAGCGGUGAAAUGCGUAGAGAUCGGGAAGAACAUCGGUGGCGAAAGCGCUCUACUGGACUGCAACUGACACUCCGGGACGAAAGCUAGGGGAGCGAAUGGGAUUAGAUACCCCGGUAGUCC
rnacentral:rRNA from 1 species